UUAGCUAACUGGCAUGGGAGAUGCCGUGAGCACGAAGCUGGCUUUCCCAGGGCCUGAUGCUUAUCCAUGACAGUUUGGCUGUGCUGACCCCAGUGAGUUCCCCAAUUGUGGGAGACUCAGCUGCACGCUUUGUGGUAGGGAACUGUGUGUGCACUUUGCCCUG
ensembl:snRNA U1 U1 spliceosomal RNA